GAUUGAUGGUGCCUACAG
rnacentral:misc_RNA from 1 species